rnacentral:rRNA from 1 species
ACGAACGCUGGCGGCGUGCUUAACACAUGCAAGUCGAACGCUGAAGCUCAGCUUUUGUUGGGUGGAUGAGUGGCGAACGGGUGAGUAACACGUGAGUAACCUGCCCCCUUCUUUGGGAUAACGCCCGGAAACGGGUGCUAAUACUGGAUAUUCACUGGUCUUCGCAUGGGGGUUGGUGGAAAGGGUUUUUCUGGUGGGGGAUGGGCUCGCGGCCUAUCAGCUUGUUGGUGGGGUGAUGGCCUACCAAGGCUUUGACGGGUAGCCGGCCUGAGAGGGUGACCGGUCACAUUGAGACUGAGAUACGGCCCAGACUCCUACGGGAGGCAGCAGUGGGGAAUAUUGCACAAUGGGCGAAAGCCUGAUGCAGCGACGCCGCGUGAGGGAUGGAGGCCUUCGGGUUGUGAACCUCUUUCGCUCAUGGUCAAGCCGCAACAAUGGUUGUGGUGAGGGUAGUGGGUAAAGAAGCGCCGGCUAACUACGUG